ensembl:lncRNA
GGAGUGAAUAAUACAUGAAAUUAGGCAGUUAUUAAAAUAAUUUAGUUGCUUCAGAUGCUUGUGGUUAUGUUUAAAGAGUCCUAUAUCUUACGGUAACAGACCAAAGGUGAAGUGAUAUUUGGGAUUUGAUUUAAAAUACUCUAAAAAAUUAUGAACAGAUAAAUAAAACAAGAUUAACAAGAUAUUUUCUCUACACAUAACAUAUAUUUGCAUUUUUUAUUAAAAGAAGUUAAAGAAUAGAAAAAAAAUGUCAUCAAGAGUGUUAAUGAUAAAGGAAUGCACAUGAGGGAGAAAGAAUAUGGUUAUCCAGGGUUCAUGAGCUUUAAAAUAGCUCUUAUACUUUUAAAAAUUGUAUCAAUAAAUAGAAUAUGUUGAAAAAUUAUAUUGAGAUCAUAUUGUAUGUGGAGAUGUGUGUGUGGUAGCUCUUCAGUAACACAUUAAGAAUUUAAUUUUGUAUUUUGUAAUGUGGACCCAGUAAGGAAUUUUAUGUUGAACAGUAAUUAACCUUAUUUUGAAAAAAAUAAGUCAUCUUUAAAUUUUUUUGCAUUUAGGAGUUACUGUUGUGGCUCAGUGGUAAUGAACCUUACUAGUAUUCAUGAGGAUGCGGGUUCAAUCCCAGGCCCUGCUUAGUGGGUUAAGGAUCCAGUGUAAGGAGCUGUGAGCUGUGGUGUAGGUCACUUGGAUCUCACAUUGCUGUGGCUGUGGUGUAGGCCAGCAGUUGCAGCUCAGAUUGGACCCCUAGCCUGGGAAGUUCCGUAUGCCAUAGAUGCAGCCCUGAAAAGAAAAAAAAAAAAUUUUUUUUUGCAUUUAACCAAUAUGCAGUCACUUGAGCAUAACUUUUACAAAGCUUCUUUAUUUAUUUAAAAAACAUACAAUAGUCUUAUAAUGGUGAAAAGUUGUUUUUAAACCAUUUCUCACCUCCUAAGAUUCUGAGAUGUUUUGUAUUCUCUCCCUCCCACCCAUCACCAUUACUUUGAGACUUUCCUUUUAAUGUGUGUGUGUGUGUAUUUUGGGGACAGACGGGACGGAGAAACAAGCAGUCCCAGGGCAUCAAAGGGUGAGAAACACAGGCUGAAUGAGUGUGAGAGCCACCACCAACCUCUCCUACCUGAAACCUUGCCAUUUCCCCCACUACAAGAUAUAGCAAUGAAGCAUCAAGAAAAUCAUGCCCAGACAGAUUUCUGGCAGAGUGUGCCUUCAGCUGAAACAGAGAGAGAAGAAGGAGAUGGUCUAUUGGAUCCAAAGCAAGAAGAUCAAGGAGAGGAAAUAAUGAAAACUCUCAAUUGGGGUUUGCAAGACUUCAAGUUCAAAGAGCAUUCAGUCACCCUGUCAGCCUCCUUAGGCAAGCAGGAGCUUUACCUAAACAUGGAUGGCUCAAGUGACUCAUUCCGUGGGAACGCUAAACAGAGCUUCUUUGGGCUCACCAUGCAUUCUGAAGGUGACUGCCCCAGCAAAGGAGAUGGGUCUCUCCAGCCUAGUUGUGUCAUUGUCUGUGCCAUUUCAUACUACCCUCUUUGCUCCUCCCCAAUUCCAUUCCAGUGUCUUCCAAUCUUUGGCACUUUAGGAUUUACCUCUCUGCUCUUGCCCUCAACAAUAUGACUCUCUUUACCUGGCUUUGACUUUUAAAUAUUUGCUAGCCUAGAGUUAGCUUUUUAUGCUCUGGCUAGGGCAGAAGAGAUAGGAAGAAGCUGGCAUAAAUAAUACAGUCCUGGCUGUCUUCAAGUGUGUCUAAGCCCAACUUGGAUGAAUAUCAAGAAUAACAUUUAUAGUAGGUGAUUCCUUGUUGAUUUCCUUGCAAAACUAGGCCUUAGUCUCCUCUCUGUCCUGCUUUCAGUUACCUCACUUUCCUCCCUUCACCUGACCCAUCACUAAUGUUUAAAACAGUGAUUCUCCUCUAGAAUAUAUAAACAACUUAAACAACCCAACA